CUUCAAAGAUAAGAAAGCAUUACUAAAUUGCUAAAGAGGGUCGGCUUUGGGUCUGUGCGGGAUGUGCCGCACAGGGCCCAUAAUAUCGAGGGGCCCAAAAUUGUUUAAAAAUAUACCUAUAAUUUAUAUAUAAGCCUUUUAACGAAAAAACAUAAACAAGUUGACUCUUUGGUGCAGUGGAAGGGUCACUUUGUUACCGCUUUAAACGUCCCGUGUUUGAUUCCCUGUGGUGUUGUUUUCUUUUUUCUACCUUUAUCGAGUUCUUCCAGUAUUCUUUUUUCUACUUUUAUCAAGUUCUUCCAAGUUUUCUAUUUUUUUGAGUUCUUCCAAGUUUUGUUUCGGGAAGUGGAUGAUUCAACUUAUUUUUUAAUUGGCGGAAACUCUGGUUUUCUCUUGACAAAAUGGAAAGAAAUGUCAUAUGAUAUCUUCAACAAAGAUUGACAUACGGAGCUCACACAGGGAAAUAAGUCCUUUACCCGAAUCAAGAUUUGGAGAAGCCGUUCAGUUGUUGGAUUCUGACUAUAUGUUUAUCGAGACUGAAGUCUAGUCCAAACUAGUUUCAUCUCAUGCAACAUAUACAUGUUACCUUGUCUACAAAACACCAAAAUACCAAUCUAGAUUUGAGGUUCCUAUGGAAGUGAAAGAUAGAAAAUGUGAUUCUUGGUAUAUCUAUUUAGCAAGUCCUCAAACCCCAAUUAUUCGACCAAAGGCUGGUCAAAACACCCAUAACCCAGUCAAUAGGCCGAAAAUAAAAGGCAUUCCACAACAAUGGAAUAAUGGAUGGAAUGAAGUGCAAAUCUGGGAAUUGCGAGCUGAUAAUACAAUGAACAUGGAACUUACGCUGGAUGUUUCUGACAGGAAGAAGAUUAGUGGGCUUAUUAUUGAAGGCAUUGAGUUUACACCUAUAUAAACUUCCAUUUUUCAUAUAAUGGACAAGAAUUAGUUGUAAACACAAAAUUUGUUUUUUUUUUAAUUUUUUUUUUGUGUGUCGAGUGGAAGUACAUUCUGAAUCAUAUUUCCUUGAUAUAAGGGUUUGGUCUUUUUAUAGUUUUUUAAUA